UACGUAGGUGGCAAGCGUUGUCCGGAUUUAUUGGGCGUAAAGAGCUCGUAGGCGGCUUGUCGCGUCGAAUGUGAAAUCUCGGGGCUCAACUCCGAGCUUGCAUUCGAUACGGGCAGGCUAGAGUUCGGUAGGGGAGACUGGAAUUCCUGGUGUAGCGGUGAAAUGCGCAGAUAUCAGGAGGAACACCGGUGGCGAAGGCGGGUCUCUGGGCCGAUACUGACGCUGAGGAGCGAAAGCGUGGGGAGCGAACAGG
rnacentral:rRNA from 1 species